GAAGGAAGAACUAUUAUCGAAAAACUACAUGAACAAAAAUCUGUCGACAUCAAAUUAAUCAAAGCGAUCACAACCAUCUCAAGCGACUAUCUCAUCAACAGAUUUGAAUAUCAUCCAAGUGCUCAUCAUAAAAACAUUGUUGCAAAAUCUCUGGUCAAUAAAUAUGAUGUUUUGAGAUCGAACAGCGCUGAAGUGCCACAGAAUUCAUACGAACAUUGCUGACCAUAAAGGAUAAAAAUCCAUCCUGAGGCGUUAAAAGUGUCAAUAAAGGAUCGCAAAAAUUGCAAACCUCCUGGAAGGCAUC